GGCUGCGGGGCUCGCGCUGGAAUUGCUGUUUGUGCAGCAGAUCCUGUGCGCGGGGAGGGCUGUGGCUGCUGCCUGUGGCGCACCCGUGACCCGCUGCUGGCGGGAGUGGAGUUAGUGGCUUGUUGGAAAGAAAGUUAGAAGUGUGUGUGUGUGUGUGUGUGUGUGUGUGUGUCGGUGGGUGGGAAACCCGUGGGGAAAGUUUGCACCUUAGUCUCCGGAGCGGCAGCAGCGGAUCAUGCAGCGGGGGAGACUCACCCUCCUAGUGUCUCUGGCUUUUCUUCUGCUCCACGUGAGAGGUGAAGACGACUUUAACUUAGAAGAUGCAUUAGGCCCCGAGCCUACAAAGAAGCCUGGUUCAGCUACCAAAAAGCCGGAGUUGGAUGACCACCCAAAA